UUAGCUCAUCAGCCAUCGUCAGUGUUAGUGUGCUUCAUGUGUGGCCCAGGGAAGACAAAAGAUUGGACACUGCUGGUCUAGAGAGAAUCAGAAAGAGUGCCAGGUCCAGGGAAUGUUGCAGCAAACCCCGUGAAGUUGGCUGAAGCUGUCUUGAGCAGAGAGGCAGGAAAGGAGAGAAGAAGGUAAGGAUGGAGAAUAAAAGAGGGAGGAGGGAGUGGGGUUGGUGCUAGGAAAGAAUGUAAGGGAUGAUCUGACUUGGAGAGAGAUGCAGGAAGCUCCUGUGUCACCCGAAGCCAGAGUCAGAAUUCUCUCUUGAGGGAGGAGGAGUGGUCCUGGGUAAGGGAGCAGCUCUUACAAAGGCCCUGAAGCACAAAGAGGUGCACCCCACGGCCUUGGGGAGCUGAAAGCAGGACAAUGAAGCUGCAAGACAGAGCAAAGAGGAGAAGGGCAGUGUGCUGAGGGGUAGCUGGGGGCAGGCGUGAGUCCUUGUGUGAUCUCCAUCAGCCCCCUUCUCAGGCUACCUGGAGCAAUCUCCUCCACUCACAUUGCAGCCCCUGAGCCCCUCCCAGAAAAAUCCUGGAACCUUCUUGAGGGAUGGAUAUUUGUGGGGGUGAGGCUGGCCUGGCUGGGCUUUCUAGGCCUUGUCAAGAAAUUGGGAUUAGCCUUGUUAUAAGUAAAAUUUUAUUGCUGAAAGAAACAGCACUUGAAGAUAAAACCUCUCAGCAAGGCAGUUUACUUCUAUAGAAGGGUGUGCCUCACAGAUGGAGCAAAGGUGAGCACACACUUGGGCAAGGGAGGAAAAGGGGUUCUUAUUCCGGACGGAGGUUUCCCCUACUGCUGUGUCAUUCCCCUAUUGGCUAGGGUUAGACUGCACAGUCUAGGCUAAUUGUCUGUUUUAAAGAGAGCAGGGGUACAAGCCAGAAGUGGCAGGGUGGGUGGCUUGGCGGGAAGGAUGGUUACGGGCAGAUCAGAGCAGGUAGCCAGGGCUGACCUAGGUCAAAGCAGGUAACCAGAGCAGGUGACCUGGAUGAGUCAGGACGGAGCCGGGGACCGGAGGAACAGAUGUGAACUACUGAUAAGAACUGGUGGAGAAGGUUGUUUACUGAAACUACAAGGAAGUUGAACUUUAAAAUGGAGGACAAAUGACUGAACAUACUGACAUACUGAUUCUUUGAAGAGAAAUGUAGACCUCUUUGUAUUCAAUAGUCUUAAAGGAAUAGAACUUCAUUGAAGGCUUUUAAGAAAGGUGGAUGAGGCAAUAAAAUUCACAUUUUUAGAAGUUACAUCUGGAUGCCUUGUAGGGAAGGGAUUGGAGGGGGCCUGAGUGGAUGAAGGGGAGAACUGGGGGAAUCUUCUGGAGUUCCAGGCAAGAGUGGAGAUGGCUUGGACCCGGUCAGUUCCAGUAAAGAUAUUUUCGUUGCCUUCACUUCUCCAGCCUGUAUUUUCAGUUCCUCCCUGACCACCUAGGCAGAUUCUGAGUCUUUCUAGAAUCACUAUUCCAAAUCCCACUCCUCUACUUGAACUGGGAGAGACCUUCUGCUCCCCUCAAGUCUCUGACCACACCAUACAGAUAACAAACUGCCUCCGUGUCAAGCUGGAGCCCCGCCCUCUUUUCUAUUUUUCAAAAUACAGACAACAAAUAUGCUCAUUAUUUCACAUUGCAAGACUGCCACCAACCUGAGAAUAAAACGCGAAGCUUAAGCUUCAAGCUCACAUAUCAAGAAAUGUAUAGUACAAUCAAACAGGAAGUUGCCAAGCCAAGAAAAUACGAAACCUCUGAGGGAUCCUUUUGCAUUGCAGGAUGAAGAAGAGCGAGAAGAGAAAAAGCAUUCAUUUGGAUGCUUUUCUUAUCUACUUCGCACUAGCUUUGAAAUAGACAGUCUACUCAUUCGAAUAUAGUUUAAAAUGAAUGCCUGGAGCUGCUUGAUGGAGCAGGUUGGGUUUUCAGGCACAGGUUAAGAGUUUUCUUCAUAGGCUUGUUCAUCGGCAUGUAUGAGUUCUUUUCAGAACUAUGCUGCAAUGGAGUUACCAUGCAAAUCGUGCUGUAUGUGUACAUUUUUACCUGGCCUUCUCUCUACCUGUUUCUGGAUGGCAUUAAGCAAAUCCUUUACCAUAACAAAGUAUUUCUUCCGUCACUGGUCAAAAAGCAUCCUUUGUUGUGCUUGCCCCAGCUUCUUUGGGGAAUGAUGAGCAUGGUGA